CGCGCGGGGCGGCAGCGGCGCGAGCGCGCAGCCCCCGCGCCUCUUCCCUCGGCGCUCCCCGCUCCAUCUGGAACCAGGACGUGGAUGUUACAUGAAGACCCUGUGUGGACAGUAAUGACCGCACGUUUCCGAUUGCCUGCUGGCAGAACCUACAAUGUCCGAGCAUCUGAGCUGGCACGAGACAGGCAGCAUACGGAGGUGGUCUGCAACAUUUUUCUCCUGGAUAACACUGUACAAGCUUUCAGAGUUAAUAAACACGAUCAGGGCCAAGUUCUGUUGGACAUAGUCUUCAAGCAUCUCGAUUUGACAGAGAGAGAUUACUUUGGUUUACAGUUGGCUGAUGAAUCUACUGAUAACCCUAGGUGGUUGGAUCCAAACAAACCUAUCAGGAAACAAUUAAAAAGAGGAUCUCCUCACAGUCUGAACUUCAGAGUUAAGUUUUUUGUAGGUGACCCAAACAAGCUCCAAGAGGAAUACACAAGGUACCAGUACUUUUUGCAAAUUAAGCAGGACAUUCUUACUGGAAGAUUGCCCUGUCCUUAUAAUACUGCUGCUCUUCUGGCUUCCUAUGCUGUUCAAUCCGAGCUGGGAGACUACAACCAUUCAGAAAACUUGCCAGGCUACCUCUCAGAAUAUUCUUUCAUCCCUAGCCAGCCUCAAGACUUUGAAAAAGAAAUAGCAAAAUUACAUCAGCAGCACAUAGGGUUGUCUCCUGCAGAAGCAGAGUUCAAUUAUCUCAAUACAGCACGUACCUUAGAACUUUAUGGAGUUGAAUUGCACUAUGCAAGGGAUCAGAGUAACAAUGAAAUCAUGAUUGGAGUGAUGUCAGGUGGAAUACUAAUUUUUAAGAACCGUGUACGAAUUAACACCUUUCAGUGGUUGAAGAUUGUAAAGAUUUCUUUUAAGUGCAAGCAGUUUUUUAUUCAACUUAGGAAAGAACUGCAUGAAUCUAGAGAAACAUUACUGGGAUUCAAUAUGGUGAAUUACCGAGCAUGUAAGAAUUUGUGGAAAGCUUGUGUGGAGCAUCACACAUUCUUCCGUUUGGACAGACCACUCCCACCUCAGAAGAACUUUUUUGCACAUUAUUUCACUUUGGGUUCCAAGUUCCGGUACUGUGGGAGAACAGAGGUCCAAUCUGUGCAGUAUGGUAAAGAAAGAGCAAAUAAAGACAGGGUAUUUGCAAGAUCCCCCAGUAAACCCUUGGCACGGAAAGUGAUGAGUGGGAUGGAUUGGGAAGUAGUGAGUAGGAACUCACUGUCUGAUGAUAGGUUGGAAACACAGAGCCUCCCGUCACGGUCUCCACCUGGAACCCCAAAUCAUCGCAACUCUGCCUUCACUCAAGAAGGAGCCCGGUUACGACCCUCAUCAGUCGGACAUUUAGUGGAUCAUGUGGUUCACACCUCCCCCAGUGAAGUGUUUGUAAAUCACAGAUCUCCAUCCUCCACCCAGGCCAACAGCAUCAUACUGGAAUCAUCCCCAUCUCAAGAGACUCCUAUAGAUGGGCAGCCUCCAGCAUUACCACCCAAACAAUUUAAAAAGAACAGUUGGAACCAAAUUCAUCAUUCACACUCGCAGCAAGAACUGAAUAACCAUAUUAAUGAAACAUUUGAUGUUCCUGCAUCACCUGAAAAAUCCACCCCCAAUGGUGGUGUCCCCCAUGACAAUCUUGUUAUGAUCAGAAUGAAACCAGAUGAAAAUGGAAGGUUUGGCUUCAAUGUAAAGGGUGGAUAUGAUCAGAAGAUGCCGGUAAUAGUGUCCAGGGUAGCUCCAGGAACACCUGCUGAUCUGUGUGUCCCUCGUUUGAAUGAAGGGGACCAGGUUGUCCUGAUUAACGGCAGGGACAUAGCAGAGCAUACCCACGACCAAGUGGUAAUGUUUAUUAAAGCCAGCUGUGAGAGACACUCAGGGGAACUUGUGCUCCUAGUUCGACCCAAUGCUGUCUACGAUGUUGUGGAAGAGAAGCUGGAGAGCGAGCCUGAUUUUCAGUACAUCCCUGAGAAAUCUCCCCUUGAUGGUGUCCAUCAAGAUGAUAACGCUCUGAGGGAGUCCAUGAUUCAGUUAGCAGAGGGGCUCAUCACUGGAACUGUCCUGGCUCAGUUUGAUCAAUUGUAUAGGAAAAAGCCUGGAAUGACAAUGUCUUGUGCCAGAUUACCUCAAAACAUUUCCAAAAAUAGAUACAGAGACAUUUCGCCUUAUGAUGCUACACGGGUUAUUUUAAAAAGUAAUGAAGAUUACAUCAAUGCAAAUUAUAUAAAUAUGGAAAUCCCUUCUUCCACAAUAAUAAACCAGUACAUUGCUUGCCAAGGUCCAUUACCGAACACUUGUCCUGAUUUCUGGCAGAUGACUUGGGAGCAAGGCUCUUCCAUGGUUGUGAUGUUGACAACUCAAGUAGAACGGGGCAGAGCAGACUCCCUGCUCUAAAGCUGAUCAUGAGGCUUCUGACAUCACUAUCCCACUGCAUGCCGGGAUGUCUCAGUGGAGCAGGAAGUCUGCAAAUCUGGCUGCUCUUAAAGAUUCGCCAGGUUAAAUGCCAUCAGUACUGGCCAGAGCCAUCAGGAAGCUCAUCAUAUGGGAAUUUUCAGAUUACCUGCCAUUCAGAAGAAGGAAAUCCUGCUUAUGUCUUUCGAGAAAUGACAUUGACUAAUCUGGAGAAAGAGGAAAGCCGCCAGCUAACCCAAAUCCAGUACAUAGCAUGGCCUGAUCAUGGGGUUCCUGAUGAUUCCAGCGAUUUCCUCGAUUUCGUGUGUCUCGUGCGAAAGAAGAGGGCUGGCAGAGAAGAACCUGUUGUUGUUCACUGCAGUGCUGGGAUUGGCCGGACAGGGGUUCUGAUCACGAUGGAGACAGCAAUGUGUCUCAUUGAGUGCAAUCAGCCUGUUUAUCCUCUAGAUAUUGUAAGAACCAUGAGAGAUCAAAGAGCCAUGAUGAUCCAAACACCUAGUCAGUACAGAUUUGUAUGUGAAGCUAUUUUGAAGGUGUAUGAAGAAGGAUUUAUUAAACCUUUACAAGCAUCACUGCAUAAGUAAAGAGCAAAAAACCUAUGAUAUCAAUUGAGGAAUCCUGUCCUCUAUAAUGAACUGGCAACGUUCUUUGUGCCAUAAUACUGCUUGCAGGAAAUGAUAGUGAAGUACAGCAAAGAAUUGACAAAGGACUUUGAAAACUUCAGCACUGUUGCACUUUACGUUGAAACAAAAUCAGUCUCUGAAACUCUUCUAACCUUCAUCUGUUUGAAGACUUUAUUUUCGUGAUUUGCUCCGAACAAACCAUGGACUGAAAGAACUGAUUGUGUUCAGGGUAAUCGCCGAUAUUUCAUUGUAGUGCCAUAUACUGCGCUUCUGGUUGAUUGCUACAAACAAGGCUUGGAAUUAUUUCACUCUAUUUUACACCCAUGUCUCUUAAAAUGAAAAACAAAUGAAAAAAUACACUAAGCCAUGGUCUUUUUCCAGUGCUAGGUUUAUUUACUAUGUACAGAGUCUCACAGUUUUGUUUUUUACAACAUUAGCAAUAUUGCCAAUACUAGAUAGAUACACACUGCCUACUGAUGCAGCACACUUUGUCCUACACCCUUACUAAAGACCAGCUGGUUGUUAGAGGAGAGCUGGCAUCUGUUAACCCAGCAGUAGCUGCAUAAUGCCCACUUACCAGCAUCUUGUACAAAAUAGUAACAAUAAAAAUUUAAAAAAAACAACACAUAAAUAAACAGCAUUUCUUUGGCACAGCUUGUGUGUCAUACACUGGUGUAUUCUGAUUUGUGUGACUUCAGAUUAUGUGAUGGGAACUAGUGCAUGCAUUAUGUCUUAACCCCUUAAGUGCCUUGAGACUUACAGCGUACAUCCAGUGAAAGGCACUCAUGAUUCCAUGGGGGUGGUAUUGUCCUGUCAUAUUUAUCUUAAUGGGUUCAGAUUUUUUAAAUGGCCCUUGGUGCUUGGAGUACGUUACCACAAGGAGUCAUGGAAAUACCAUUCCCUCUUUUGUUAUACAAGUACCUGUGUGCUACUCUCUGUAGCAAAAGCACCUCUGCCAACUUAAUGAAUGAGCAUUGUAUGCUGCUGUGCUGUAAUUAUAUCAAAAAUCUGACACAUUCCUUCAUUCCUUCCAACUAGUAACUUACUAGCAUCUUACUACAAAAUGCUGGUAGGUCAUUAGAAGCCGAUACCUUAUUUUAUCCUUUUAUUGAGAAUAGCUGUUUUACUCAAUUAGACAUAACUCUUUAAUAGCACUGAUAAUUAAGUUGAACUUACAAUCAGAUAUGACUUAAUUCCAUUACCUUCUAACUAACCUGUUCAGUCCUCAUAGUUAAUUUCAAGCCAUGUUCGUACAGGUCUGCCUUUUAUUUUCUUUUAUUUGUUUGGAGGGGAGAAGGGAGGAGAACACUAUGAAGUUAUCCCAGAACUUAAUUUUAAUUUCAUAAUGACCCCAGUCGCCUUCUGUUAUGCUUGUGCAAAAUCGUUCCAGUUGGUAUGGGUUGCAUCUUAUUUAAGUAGGUAGAAGAUUUGUAAGAAAUGUCUGUCUGAUACAGUAUCUGAGCUCAUUCUGAAGAUGCAUAGGUGUCCCCAUUUUUAAAUAUUUUUCUAGUAUAAGAGAAACCAAGUCAGAAGCAAGGUACCCAGUGUAAUAUACUGUAAGAAAAAACCAGUCACUUAUUUGACUGCCCUCUGACAGCAUAACUUUGUGCCCUCUAUUUAAAAGUUUUAAUUUAUUGUAUUGGUUUCCUGAAAAUGUAUAUCCAUUAAAUUUUGUUGUAAGCUAUAUAUAUAGCAUAGAAUUAAAAUGGAAAGUUCUACACUAAAUAAUUUUUAACUAUUGAAGAAUUAUAUUGUAUAAUAUACUUUGUUCUAUGGACAUUUGAAACAGAUCAGCUAUGAACUAUUAAAUGAAAAGGGAUUCAGGCAACGUGAAAUCCUGGCUUAUGACUUAGUAAUGAACAAGAACUACAAUGCCAAAUGAAAGAUAGAGUUUUAAAUAUUUUUAGAAAACAAAGUAAUAUUAGGAGGGCUGUGGCCCUGUUACUUAUAUUUCUAGAUUUGAUGCUGAAGUCAAUGUUAUCCCUCAGUGAAAAAUAAAUUUUACAAGAACCUCUGGAUCUGAACUGAACUGAAAAAGAGUAAUAUGGUAGCUUUAAUCUCAGUUAUAUUUUAAGCCAUUUUCAACAAAUAAAAAAUCUUUUUUUAUAAUUCUUUAACUUCCUGAGUUACUGGCUAGUUAGAAGGUUAUAUUGAACUCAGCACUUAAUGUCCAAAAAAUAAACAAAAAUCAUCCAUUAUACUGAAAGAAAUUUUCUUCAUAGUUAAGUUGUAAACAAAAAUAGCAUUUGCCCUGUUAUCGUGAGGGAAAUCAGAAAUGGAGUUUAUGCAGCAUUAUAUAGCAUUGGUAUGUCACAUAUUUAAAUAUUCUUAUGUAAAAUUGCCAUAGCAGUUCGAGUUCAAAAGUCCCAUUUAUACCACAAUUAAGUGUGGGAUAUGUAUUGGUCAUCUGUCAGUACUGUUUUGAUUACAAACACAGGCAAGAAUAAUAGAUCUCCUCAAAAUGUUCCUCUGCACUGACUUGUAGUUUAUUAACUAGCUACACUGGAGAAAAAACAUGAAACAAAGUACCUAUUCUUAAUUAAUUGGCCUCAGUGACUCAGUGGCUUUUGGCUUCUCCAAAGCCAGGAUAAAGGUAACCAAAAACUGCUUGGGAAAGAGAAUAGCACUGAAGUCUUUCUGCAGCAUAAAUCAGUCAUUUAAAUUUUUCUACCUGUUGUGGUAUAAAUGGCCUUUAAAAUAUUUUUAUAUGGCCAAAAAAGCAAAACUGCUUAAUAUUUUACUUUGGGUUAUGAAGAUCUGUAUCAUCCUUAAGAGUUUUUUAAAGAAGUUUUUGUAUGUUUCAUGCUGUACAAAACAUGAAUGUAUCUUUCAGACAUAAUGACUUAUAGACCUAUAUGUGAUUGGUGUUAUGACUGUUGGAUUUUAUGAAUAAUUAUUUUCAUACCAUUUGAUUAGGAAAAAUGUUGGGUGGGUGUGGAAAAGAGUAUGUUUCUAACACUUCCAUGAUGCAAAUCCAGUUAAAGAAAAAAAAAGUAGUUUUCAUUGUAAAUAAGAGCAAUAUUAUGACAAAUUUGUGCCAAUGUAAAAUGUUAAGAUUUUUGGUUUUACUUUUAGGUUCAGAUUGAAAACUACCACUACCAUCUCUUGUUUAAAAUGGAUUUGAAGGGGGUUUUUUAGUAGAAAGACAUGGGGCUCUAGUGGGGGCUUUAAGUGGUUUUUGGGAGCAUUUUUUACUUUUGCUAAAUAUGAAAUAAGAUACAGGUAUUGUUUAAUAAACCACCUACAGACUGUCAGCCAGUCCACUUUGAGAAAUACUGCAUUAGAUAUCCCAGGUAACUGAGGGCUGAAAAUUUCAUUUAUCCUGAAUUUAGAAGCAUUUGGUAUUUUCAAUCACUUGUAGGUCUUAAGCAGUAAAAUACUGCUUUUAUGCAUUUUAUUUUUAUCUAUUCUCUCCCCGUUAUGAAAAAGAGAACACCUGGGGAUUUUUCUCACUAGAUUUAAUGCUAGCUGACAUUUCUUCCACGUUUCUCUGUUAAAUCUCAAAAGCUUAUAUGCCAUAUAGAUAAAGCAAUAACACUUCUUCUAGAAUAUCUGAUUAUAGUCUGGCACACCAUCUAGUAAAGAAAGGGUGAGAAAGCAGUUGGGACAUUAAGGAACAUGAGGAGGUUGUUAUAGAACUUGUGUAGUUGGCAACUUUCCGUGGAGACCUUCCAAAAAGCUUCAUGGUACCUGUGGAAGGGCCAAAAUGCAGCAGAUGUGCUGCAGUUGUGCUGCCCAGGGAAACCUGACAAAGGGAAGGUCUGGCAUAGAGAUGUUGGAGUUCCAGGUAUGCUGUGGAGCUGAAUUAUGUGAUAUUUUUAUGCUUAUGCAGUGUGUGCAGGUAUGUGGGUGAUGUUUGGUGGCUCAGGGAAUUAGCAUGAGCAUGAAAAGCUCUACAGAUCCACCAAGCUCUACAAUUUCCAAGCAAAAGAAGGUUGUCCAGUACAUAUGCUGUAGUUUUGACUGUAGAGCCACUGUGCAGGCAAUCAGCAAGCCCCUCAGCCCUGAGGAUAAAAGGAGUGAUUUGGUUAUGGUCCACAUGAAAAUUUUGGAUAUUUGGACUUCCACCAAGUAGAGGAAUGACAUCCUCCAAUAUCAGAUGCAGUCUUUUUUGUAGCUCACAUCUCAGGUCCCCAGUUAGAUGGGUUGGGUGUAUUUGCCAAUUUUAGUGUACCCAUCUUUUGUCUUGAGACUGAAAAGUUCUUUCCCAUUGCUACUUCUAGCGCUAGGAUCCAGUAUUAAGAUCUGGUGAAAACAUAUUCAUUGAUUAACUGUGGAUCUUGCAUGAAUAUGCAGGUAUUUAUAAUUAGUGGUGAUUUGGAAGCUGUUAGAAGGAGGAAAUGGUUGGUUUGUUUCAGUGUAACUGUUCUGUCCAGUCUCUGUUAUCCCACUGCACUUAGUCACUUGUUUGUUUAGAAGUCUGCAAAGAAGGCCAGUUCCUUAUCACUGGAUUUUACCUCUGUGCUUGUUACUCCCACAGGUGUCUAUCUUUUCAUAGGGCUACUCCUGCAACAAGUUCUGAUCUGGUGCAUAAGCUGUAAGUUGUGGCUGUUGGCUUUGGCAUGUUUUGCUCAUUGAGAUUUCAGUGGUAAAAAGGAGACAUUAACGACUUUCUUAAAAAAAAAAAGCUGAAAUAUUCAAUUUUUAAAAUUUAGACAUUUUGAUUAGUAGCCUUAUUUUAAAAAGCCACUAAAAUAUCUGAUUCUAGUCUGCUGUAGCAAGAAUGAUGGUUCACAGACUGGCUGGCAGCUUGUUGGUUGUGGUAUUUCAUAUUUAGCAAGCUUACACAUUUUAAAGGAUAAUUUUUUUCAAAGUGUUUUGAUGUUUGAAUAGUAGCACUUUAUGUCAUGCUUACUACUGACUGAACUAUUGGACAAAAUAAAUUGGGUUUGGAGAGAGAUGCUUAAUGGGUUUCUGUACAGAGAUGAUUCGGCUUACACCCUGGUACGAAUGCUUUCUGUUGUUCCAGCCACUUCUUGUUGAUUGUUCACAUGUUUCUGAGGGAUUUUCAGAAAAUAGACAUUAAUAAGAUAAUUCUAUCAUCUCAAUUUUCCUGUCUUAAUAAAAAUAUGAAGCCUACAUUUGGG